AGUCGGGAGGCGGGAGAAGCGAGCUGCCCCAGCGGCCUCUCACCUGUGUCGUCCCCUCGCGUCUGGGCGGCUGCGCUGCUGUUGUGGUAGGACUGGAGUUGCUGAGACAAAGGAAAACCCACUCCCUUGGAGGAGCAUGACCUUUUCCUGUAAUUCUUCCCACUGCUGUUGUUGAGCUCCUUGGAUCCUGGCUCCUGGACACCAUCAUCAAGAAGACUUUAUGGAUGGGCUGUCCACCCACUGAGAGAAGAGGAGCAUCAGCUACAGUUUCUCUCUAGAUUGCCUUCUUCAUUUUGAGUAAUGACUGUCAGCAGGGUCAGAUUAAACACAAAACAACUGGACAAUUGCUUGGAGGACUAAACUAUAAGGGCACUAACAUGUCAAUAGUAGGCUAACACAUCCAUGGAAAAUAUAUUUACCAGCUCUUCUCUCAGGGAGGAUUCUGUGUGGGGUUGGAAGUAAUGAUUUGUUAAAUUCCUUAGGGGUAGAAAGUAGGGCAUAAUCAGAAUAUAGAGGAAUAUGCUGUUUGACUUCAGGGUUUCUGUUUUUCUUACUAGGAUAUAUAAAACAGGGACUCUAGCUAGAUUGUUUAUGACCACAGAGGGUAGGCUGAGUGCUCCCAUGAUCUUCCUGCUUGGUUCUUGCCCAUACAGAGGUCAGCCUUUCCUCUAAUAAAGAUUGAACAAGUAGUGGUCUGAGGGAGACACCAAUUCAUUACCCUACAUGUCUCUUCUCUGCACUCCAGGGCUUUGAUAAUAAAGACACUGGCAGACUAUCUAUCUUCCAUUUCUAUAAUGUGAGCCCUUAGGGAGUCUUCGUUCACUUGGGGGUGAGGGUCAUUGCUCACAGAGUAGUUCAAGUCAAAUGGAACUUGAACUCUUUGCCUAUGGGCCUGGUGGUCAGACUCUGUGUUGAGUUCAUUAGAUUAUUGGAGACACAAGGUAGAGCUGGAUGCUUCAAAAAUAUUUGGCUAAAGGAUGACAUUGCUGGUUAUUUGUAGAUAAAGCCAUGAUGGAACCUGCUUGGAAUCAUGAAAUAUGGAACUGGUGGUCAUGUUUAAAAAUACAACUAAUAGUUAAGUACCUACUGGACACUGUAGAGACUUAGGGGCUAGACAGACAUGGUUCCUGCCCCCUUGGAGCUUACACUGUAGCUUCCCCUUAGGUAUGAAGAACAGUGGCUACAACUAACAAAUGGCCACAAAGAUAUAAUUGAGCCAGUGUUCCAAUUAUUAGGGUAAUUCCUAUUUCCUUAAUCAUUCCUAUUGACCAUGUUCUAUAAGCCUGCAUUCUAUAAAUGGCGUAUGACCAUGGGCUGUUUCCCCCCAGCAAGUUGUACAAAGUUCUGUGGUACCAGGGAAAGGGCUUAAGGUUAGCAGGGCCUCUGCGGAAGGACAUAUGAAGUGACUUGGGUUAGGAAACAGGAAGGGAUAGGAUUCAAGAACAGCUAUUGCUUCUGUUCUAUAUAGGAAACUGCAGCGUGAAAAAUGCUGGGCUGGGAAUUUUGAGACCUGGGUUUUAGUUUGUGUUCUAAUACUAACAAGCUAUGUGACUGUGGGUAAGUCAUUUCACAUUCCAUUUGGAUGCCUCUUGAGUGACUCCAGGCCUCUCCAGCUCUAAAACAUUAAGAUCAGGCCCUACGCUACAGCUGGCCAGUGUGUAAUUCUUCUGUUUCUAUGCUGUUAGGUCAAAUAGAUCUUCAAUAGUUACUUGAUUGUUAUUACUUUUUUCUGAAGUGGGUGUUUUAUCAAUGUUUUAGGAUACAGUGAGUCUGCUUCUCCCCUUUGGAGUUAGGAAGGUUGUAGGAAUAUACACUGUAGAGCAUAUGGGAGCUUUAUCCCCUCCUUUUUUCCCCGCUACCUUUCUCCCUCUCCUUCCCUUCAUCACAUUUCUAUUGAGCAUAUGCCAUUGCCGUGUACCAGGUGUGUGCUAGGUUUGGAGAUACAAGGUAAACCUGAGACUUUCCCAGUCUCCAGGAGACAAAACCCUAAUUUCUUUCAUCUGCUGUCUUUCUCUUUGGAAAGAAUCAACGAUAUCCCAGGGGAAUGUGCCCAUGUCCCAGGGUAACCAACUACAGACAGAUGCCCCAUUCUACUCAAGCAACUUUUAGAGUGCCUUGAGAUACACAUCAGAUAAUUAUGCAGGGCCAGGCAUGGUGCUGCACACUUGUAAUCACAGCACUUUGGGAGGCCGAGGCAGCAGAUUGCUUGAGCCCAGGAAUUCAAGUGUAGCCUAGGGAACAUGGCAAAACCCCAGCUCUACAAAAAAAUACACAAAUUAGCUGCGUGUGGUGGCCUAUGACAGGAGGCUGAGAUGGGAGGAUUGCUUGAGCCUGUGAGGUCGAGGCUGCAGUGAGCCGAGAUCAUGCCAUUACUCCAGCCUGGGUGACAUAGGGAGACCCUGUCUUGAAAAAAAAAAAAAAAAGAUAAUUAUUCAGCCCUAGAGUCAUUGUGAAAAGAUCUAUCUUCAGAUAUAAGGAAGAAACAAUCUUUUAUUUCUUAGGAUAAAUCUGUAGAAGGACCUCCAGACAGUGAAGGCCACUGACUACUUUAUACUCUGUAAGCCAUCCCUCCCUGGUAGGAAGGACUAUUUCCAAUCUUACAGAGUACCUCUCAGCAAAUAGACGUUUUCACAUAUACUGUGAUUCAUACAUCCCUAUGGCUGGUGACCUCUUUAAAAAGGAAAGGAAAAAGCCUAAUCAAACAAAAAGAUGCUGCUAGUAAUUCUUACCCUAUUGUGAAUCCUAUAUAAGCAAAUUUGUAUCUUUGUUUUUUCCUACAUUAGCAGAUCUAUUUGAUGUAUAUCUCUGAGUGCAGAAAAUAUUUUAUGGAAAAAUCAAUAUAUGGAAUUUCAAAUUCAGAAUUGCUGAUACACACUAUUUGGUUUCACAAUUUUAUCCUAGGAAAUAGUAUUAGAGAUUUCAAUUUCUGGCUUAAAUGGUAGAAUUAAUUACUCUUAACUCUUAAUUUUACUUCUGAGUUGAGGUCAAGGAACAGGCAGACACCUGCAGUUAACGUCUAUACCUCUCCAUGGCCAAGAGUUUUAAUUUUCUCGUCUUCAAUUUUGUAGAUGUUCAUCAUUACUAAAUGGAUUGAUUAGUAUUUUAUCUCCUCUCCUUGUCCUUACUUUCCCUCUGGUAAAUAUGUUAUAAACAGUGUAAGGCUCCUAAGAUAGAGUAGCUGGUAGGACUUAGAAGAGAAACAAAGGGCACUGAUAACUCACAUAAAUGGAAAAUUGGCUCUGGAAUAACUGACAACAUAUUCAAGUAUUUUAGUGCAGUGUCACUCUCAUUAAGAAGAAGAGAAUCAGUAAAUCUAUGUGACUCUAAACAUUCUAAUGAAAAAAGGAAUAUUCUGCCAAUUAUCUCACAUUUCUAAAUAUCUGGAUAUUGGCCAUUGUAAAGACAAAACAUACAGAUGAUGGACUUGUCUUUCCACCUCUCAUUUGCAUGGUUUGGAGCAUUGUACCUCCAGCCAUAGACUCUAAGGCAAUUUAUAUUUGCUUCCUCUUCCCUCUUGAGAGAAAACGAAAAUCUUAUUUUUCCAAGCAAUUAAAACUCUUCUGCUUCAGCUAGGAUGAAAGAAUUAGGAGUUCUGUCUCCUUGUAUCUAAUUGCAUGUUUCAUCUUUCUUGUUUUAAUGAUUGACAGAAAACUAAUAAACUGAGACAUCUUUGAAUCCAGGUUGAAUGUACUCUCUUGGUGGCCCCAUUGCUAAUUUGUUUGACUAUUUUGCAGGAUUUCUUACUCUGUAAUGGAAAGGUUUAUUAAAUAUGAGGGGUGCAAAGCUUUCUGAAUACUAAUGAACUUAUUUGCCAAAAUUUAAAUGUUCUUCUUGUCAGUGAAUGUCUGUCUCUCUUAACAGGAUCCAAAUUGAAUAAUGAAGAAAAUUAGACUCUAUUGUACCCUCAGGAGAAAUCGUGGUGAAUCGUAAUAGAAUACAGAGGGGGAAAGGGGUCACAUUUUAGAAAAAAAGAGUAGAUAAUUUGGAUUAUUAAAAAAGGGAUUAACUCAGGAAAACUCUGUUCUUUUCAAAGAAACGUACUCAUAGUCAUUCAAUGAGCAGGAUUUCCCACUGCACAAGCAUCUAUACCUUUGGCCAGUGUAGAAAGAGAGUAAGGUCAUAAUCAUAUGGAGAUGCAUGCUAGGUUUCAGUAGUUACAAUUUACUAAUCUCAUUCCCAUAUAAGGCCUUUAUAUGCCUGUAAUGGAAUGGGAAAAUCAAUAAGCUUUGAAAAGGAACACUAUUCUUCAGAGAAGUUCAAUGGGAGAUAGUUGAGUUGGGGAAAUUGCCCCAGUUCUUCCUUUAAGCAUGAAAUGAGGCUGUCCCUAUGUAUGUUUACUUCCAUUGCCUUGGUGUUAUCACUGAUAAAGUCAAUGAUCAUGAUGCCUUUGCCUUGGCAGCACCUGGGGGGCACUGAAGGAACCAAGUAGCUGUACUCAUGGCCAGGAAGGCAGGCUGCCAGAACUUCAGCAGCCACACAAGUGGCCAAACAUGGUCAGGAACGAAAGUAGUGUGUGUAUGGAGUGAAAUGAAAUGAUGAGAGGAAAGUGAAGGAUGAUAUAAAGAUGGGGCUGUCCAAAGAUGGGAGUUCAUCCCUGUCCUGCACUUGAAAUAGGAAGGAAAGAACUGGAGAAGGAUUAGGUGAGGAAGGAUCCUGAAAUAGAGAAAAUAAAGGGAAGACUGCAUGCCUGCAGUGUUUGCUAAAAUUAAUUCGCCUGAGAUUUCAGGAGGAGCAAAGAAAGAUCAAGAGAAAGGGAAAACAGCCUCAAAGCCUGUGAAGGUUGAAAAACAAAAUAUAAACAAAAAAUUUUUAAAGCUAAGAUUAUGCUCUUCUAAGAAAAGAGGCUGGACACUAACAGAAAGCUUGAUGACAGCAGGAUUUGUAUUUAGCGGUUUAUUUAGAUCCCUAAGAAAAAAGGCUUAUGUGACAUAGAUUCAUAAGACACAAAUGUGUCCUUGGCUGACCAUACUAGGCUUCACUCCCAAAGGAGAAAAAGAAUGGUCGGCGCAUCUCAGAUUAACACCAACCAACUGUGCAAUAUUUCAUUUUAGAAAGCGUUUCCUUGUAUUAUCCAUGAUUAAAUAAAAAGAGACCUAGUGUAUUUGAUUGCUUCUGUGGCAAGGCUUGAGAAUUACAAACCUAGGUUUCCCUCUGGGAAUGAUCAUUGGAUUUUUAAAAUUAAGUAAGUGGAAGGAGAUUAAGAUUUAUUUCCAUCAUUUCAAAUCAUGAUCUGCACCUUUGGAAACAAAAAGGAAGUUGGAAAGUGGGAAGGUGAGGUAGGUGUGCAAGAAUGGGGAGAAAGAUGCUGCAAGCCAAAUAAGACUGUAUAAUUUCUGAGAAAAUU
rnacentral:lncRNA from 1 species